GGGUUGUGAGGUUAAGCGACUAAGCGUACACGGUGGAUGCCCUGGCAGUCAGAGGCGAUGAAGGGCGUGCUAAUCUGCGAUAAGCGCCGGUAAGGUGAUAUGAACCGUUAUAACCGGCGAUACCCGAAUGGGGAAACCCAGUGUGAUUCGUCACACUAUCAUUAACUGAAUCCAUAGGUUAAUGAGGCGAACCGGGGGAACUGAAACAUCUAAGUACCCCGAGGAAAAGAAAUCAACCGAGAUUCCCCCAGUAGCGGCGAGCGAACGGGGAGGAGCCCAGAGCCUGAAUCAGCAUGUGUGUUAGUGGAAGCGUCUGGAAAGGCGCGCGAUACAGGGUGACAGCCCCGUACACAAAAGCGCAUGUGCUGUGAGCUCGAUGAGUAGGGCGGGACACGUGGUAUCCUGUCUGAAUAUGGGGGGACCAUCCUCCAAGGCUAAAUACUCCUGACUGACCGAUAGUGAACCAGUACCGUGAGGGAAAGGCGAAAAGAACCCCGGCGAGGGGAGUGAAAAAGAACCUGAAACCGUGUACGUACAAGCAGUGGGAGCACCCUUUGGGGUGUGACUGCGUACCUUUUGUAUAAUGGGUCAGCGACUUAUAUUCUGUAGCAAGGUUAACCGUAUAGGGGAGCCGGAGGGAAACCGAGUCUUAACCGGGCGUUAAGUUGCAGGGUAUAGACCCGAAACCCGGUGAUCUAGCCAUGGGCAGGUUGAAGGUUGGGUAACACUAACUGGAGGACCGAACCGACUAAUGUUGAAAAAUUAGCGGAUGACCUGUGGCUGGGGGUGAAAGGCCAAUCAAACCGGGAGAUAGCUGGUUCUCCCCGAAAGCUAUUUAGGUAGCGCCUCGUGAAUUCAUCUCCGGGGGUAGAGCACUGUUUCGGCUAGGGGGCCAUCCCGGCUUACCAACCCGAUGCAAACUGCGAAUACCGGAGAAUGUUAUCACGGGAGACACACGGCGGGUGCUAACGUCCGUCGUGAAGAGGGAAACAACCCAGACCGCCAGCUAAGGUCCCAAAGUCAUGGUUAAGUGGGAAACGAUGUGGGAAGGCCCAGACAGCCAGGAUGUUGGCUUAGAAGCAGCCAUCAUUUAAAGAAAGCGUAAUAGCUCACUGGUCGAGUCGGCCUGCGCGGAAGAUGUAACGGGGCUAAACCAUGCACCGAAGCUGCGGCAGCGAACGUAUCACUUAAAGCGAUUCAGCGGGUUACGAUUGACGGAGCGAAGCGACGUCAAAGCGUAUACAAAGUCGAGUCGGUUUAAGGAUACGUUCGUUGGGUAGGGGAGCGUUCUGUAAGCCUGUGAAGGUGGCCUGUGAGGGUUGCUGGAGGUAUCAGAAGUGCGAAUGCUGACAUAAGUAACGAUAAAGCGGGUGAAAAGCCCGCUCGCCGGAAGACCAAGGGUUCCUGUCCAACGUUAAUCGGGGCAGGGUGAGUCGACCCCUAAGGCGAGGCCGAAAGGCGUAGUCGAUGGGAAACGGGUUAAUAUUCCCGUACUUGGUGUUACUGCGAAGGGGGGACGGAGAAGGCUAUGUUGGCCGGGCGACGGUUGUCCCGGUUUAAGCGUGUAGGUGUGUGUUCCAGGUAAAUCCGGUUCACUUUAACACUGA
rnacentral:rRNA from 1 species